AUAGGCUGCAGCAAACUUCCAUUUUCAUGGAAAAUUCAGCAAUAGGUGAGUGAGGAGCACUUAAUUUUCCACGCCUUGUACCAGACCUACUGUGAAAUCCUUUGUUUUCCUGCAAUGAGAUCUCAAUUGAAAUUGUUAGGGGAGAACAAAAAAACUGAAACCAGUGAGGAUUUUUAAAGAAAAUUUUUCAUUUUAAUGGAAACUGAAAUUGUGAACACUGAAUUUCUUUAAUUUAUUACAUUUGUUUGGAAAUUGAGGGAUAUUAUCAUGCAAAAAAAAAAAAAAUGCAUUUGUUAAAUUCAGAAAAUGAAACCAUUUCACACUCUAAAACUUGUAAAUGUCAACUUGUAAAUGCCUCAAAUUCUGAGGGGCAAAUUUCCUAGGAGCCGAUUGAUAAUCCAUCAACAGGCACAGAGAUGACAGAGAGAGAAAGAGUACAAAGAUGGACUUGGCACCACACACAGCUGUUUUCUUCAGACACACAUCUCAAUAUGACCACACCACCUUCCAAAAAGAACAGUAGCACUGUGGAGCCCCAGAAAUAAACACUUUUCCCUUGUCUUUAACAUAAUGUGCGUCUACAAAUAGCUCUCAUGUGCCAAAGAGAGUAAACAAAAUGGCCCCCAUCCCAACCAACCCCUCCCAAAAAAUGUUUUUACAUGGGCAUGGGAGACAGUUCGCUCCAUUUUCGCCUUAAGUCCAGCAUUUCCCAUUACAGACAAUCGAUAACUAGAUGAAGAAGCAGCACUUUCGGUAUUUGUGAUUAUUUCUAUUUACAUGUUUUUUAUUUUAGAUUUGUCCUCACUCAUACCAACAGACUCCCACAGUGGCAUUCAGCUGCUGUGGUUGGCUCAGACAAAGGCUGGCUUAAACCAUCAGUCUUUCCAAUCUAAGAGCAUGGACCAUACAGCGGCUGAAUAUCUGAGUAGUGUACCUUUGGCGAACGCGAAAUAAGAGUUGUCAAACAGUAUAUCAAUCCCCUUUAACACAUGUGAUGAAGAACAUCAGGGACAAAUUCUUUAUAGGAACACUCUGGAUUUCUUUCAGUGCUCAUAUCUCCACCAUUACCAUUUGUUUUCAGACACAAAGAUCAGAACAUUGGGGCUUUAUAUAAAAUUAUGAGAAUUGAGAUUCAAUAAUGAAAUGGUCUUAAAAAAGUAGGUACUUGUUAAGAUAUAAAAAAUUAGACAGCUUAGCCUAAUUCUCCCCAUCAUUUUCCUUUGAAGCAAAAAAAUAGUUCCAUUCUAGUUGUGCAUCUACAAAUAAAUUAAGUGACACAAAAUAAAACAAAAACAGCUUAUUAAACAUACAAAGUUAAUACAUUAAUGCGUUAGAUCAAUUCAAAAGUAAAAUUCUAAAUUGCUCUACUAACUUAACGGACAGACUAUAAUAUACCACCAAGCAGUUUUCAUUAAAAUGCAAGCCCACUGAAAGAUUUUGCACAUCAUUCGAUUUUGAGCUGUGAAAUUUUCCUUCAAAACAUCUAAACACACAUUGCUUUCAGCUUCUUCCAUGUCAGUGAAAGGAAGCAGCAAAGGAAGCUGUAAAAAAUGUUAAACAGCAUUGCAAAUGUAUAUAUAUUUUUUUGCAAAAAAACAUGGCACAAAUCAUUUUCGAAACAAAAAAAAGAAGAUACAAAUCACUGUAAAAGCAUACUUUUCACACAGGCACAUGAACAUGAUCCAAGGGUCUUGAAAAAAGGGGAAACUUGCAUAUAUUUGGAAGAGCUCACUUUUACACACACAUCAAACAGCAGUCCUCCUAUUCAGAACUCGGAGGACUGUGCGAGUAUCCUUGAGGUGAUUGCACAUCCUAAGGGGGAUGAAAAUAGAGACAGAAAUCACUUUCUCGAUUUUCUUUCACCACACAAAGCACAAACGCACUCUUGUAGCAGAGUAUUUCUCAAACCAACUCCUCUAUUAAGAACCAGUUUUUGGUUUACAGGCUACUACACUAUCGUUAAAGUAAUAUAGCUAUAUUCUUUUCUUAAAAUACAAAAAAAUACCCAUUUUACUUAAGUGCUUUAAAAUAUCUAAGGGGGAAAACUUUUGCAUUAUUUCCCUAGAGAUCAAUGAGCCCUCUUAAGAAUCAAAUAAAAGGGGACAUGUCUGGAUAAAAACAAUGAACAUAAUGUACUUAGGACUGUUAGAGCACUUUUACACACCGACUCCAAAAGAGAUUGCCUGCCCGGUUUCACAAAGAAGCAUACUUGUUAUCCCACUCAGCAUAAAAAAAAAUUCAAAAACAUUUUUUAAAAAAGGAGGUUAGGGUUAUGAAAAUGAUAAACUUGUUUUGUUUUUUUACCCCGUGGUAUGAUCUGGGGUUUUCUAUUCCAAUAUUUUGGGGAACCAAGUAAAGUAACAUAAAUUGACUGCAUGAACAUUCAAAGUACAAGUAAAUUUUAUUUUUAAAGAUAUACAUUUUAUUUUUUUGCUGUCAAUGUCACCAUUGCAAACUAUUCAAACUUGGUUGUCCAUCGCAAAAGCAAUUCCCACUGCUGAUCAAGACAAAAUAAAAACAGAAAUUUCGCCAUUGUCCAGCAUUAACCAAAUAAGAUAUUUUGUUCGAUAGGAGUUUCCCCAUCUGAUAACACUUAGUAAAAUACCACAUCCCAGAGGUCUAUCCUUUGAAUUCCACAGCGAAUUAACUUAAAAAGGGCAAUCUCACCACUUCAACCUAAUUUUCAUUAUCUCCAGCACAAUACCAGUGUCUAGAUAUGUGAAAAUGGUGCAUUACUAAAAAUUCUACCUGAUGACAAACAGCAAUUUUUCAAAUGCAAUCAGAUUCACAAUGACGUGGGGAGAAAGAAAAUACCCUCCCUCUGGCUAGAAACUUUUUACAGGUUCUGGAAAAUCAGUUUCUUACUUUUAAAACCUACCCUGUGAUGUCACAGAGAAGCAUUUUUUUAGGACCUUUCUUCUAAACCACAGAAAUGUGCGGUUUUCAUAUGUAGACACUGGUAUGGUGCGGAGAUGAAUGAUGUUGAAAAGUGGCAGAAUUGCCCUUUAAGUGUAUGUGAGACACAGUUUUGUACACAGCAGGGGUAUGUGUGACCUUCUUGUAGUUCCCUCUCAGUCUGCAAGAACAAGCCAUGACGUGACCAGAAAACCCAAGAGGGCUGGACUAGGAAGCACAGACAUAGAUUCCUGCCAUUGCAUAUAACCUGGACUGGGAACACAGAAGUGUUUCAGGUCAUGAAUGACAAAAGAAUCAAGGACAGAAAGAGAUCACCCUGUCCAAUAACAGGUGGAAAACGGUGCAAAUCAGUGUGCUUAAAGUGAAAUUGCCUAAACAGAGAACUUAAAAAGGUUUGAAGCCUACAUAACAUGUAUGACAGCUGCUUGCAAGCUGUGUCAGUGUUUUCUGCAAGCUAAAUAUUUUGGUAUUUUAUCACAGCUCUGUAGUUUUAUUAAAUAUGACUCCAAUUCAAUAUUUUAGCAAUUCAAAUUUGAGCACAAUAUGAGGAUCUUGUUCUGAACCAUUUGGCAGAAAACAAAAUUGUUCCAACUUUGUCAUGGCUUUACCAAUGCUACCUGAGUGACAUUUUGUAUUUAUUCAUUUCUUUUUCUUAAAAAGAACAGCCCAACCAAAGCCAUUCUUAAAAGAAGUUAGUAUGUCAUUAUAUAAAUAUAUAAACACAGUAACAGUCAAAUGUCUGGACACACCUACUCAUUCAAGGGUUUUUCUUUAUUUUCACUAUUUUCUACAUUGUAGAAUAAUAGUGAAGACAUCAAACUAUGAAAUAGCACAUGGAAUCCUGUAGUAACCAAAAAAAGUGUUAAAUCAAUAGAUUUUAGAUUAUUCAAAGUAGCCACCCUUUGCCUUGACAGCUUUGCACACUCUUUGCAUUCUCUCAACCAGCUCCUGAGGUAGUCAUCUGGAAUGCAUUUCAAUUAACAGGUGUGCCUUGUUAAGUUAAUUUGUGGAAUUUCUUUCCUUCUUAAUGUGUUUGAGUCAAUCAGUUGUGUUGUGACAAGGUAGGGGUGGUAUACAGAAGAUGGUCUUUUGCCAAACAAGGCUAAGUCCAUAUUAUGGCAAGAACAGCUCAUUACUUUAAGACAUGAAGGUCAGUCAAUUCGGAAAAUGUCAAGAACUUUGAAAGUUUCAAGUGCAGUCACAAAAACCAUCAAGCGCUAUGAUGAAACUGGAUCUCAUGAGUACCGCCACAGGAAAGAAAGACCCUGAGUUACCUCUGCUGCAGAGGAUAUGUUCAUUAGAGUUAACUGCACCUCCGAUUGCAGCCCAAAUAAAUGCUUCAAAGUUCAAGUAACAGACACAUCUCAUCAUCUGUUCAGAGAAUCAGGCCUUCAUGGUCUAAUUCCUGCAAACAAACCACUACUAAAGGACAUCAAUAAUAAGAAGAGACUUGCUUGGGCCAAGAAACACAAGCAAUGGACAUAAGACCGGUGGAAAUCUGUCCUUUGGUCUGAGGAGUCUAAAUUUGAGAUUUCUGGUUCCAACUGCUGUGUCUUUGUGAGAUGCAGAGUAGGUGAACGGAUGAUCUCUGCAUGUGUGAUUCCCACUGUGAAGCAUGAAGGAGGUGUGAUGGUGCUCUACUGGUGACAGUGUCAGUGAUUUAUUUAGAAUUCAAGGCACACUUAACCAGCAUGGCUACCACAGCAGCGAUACGCAAUCCCAUCUGGUUUGCACUUAGUGGGACUAUCAUUUGUUUUUCAACAAGACAAUGACCCAACACACCUCCAGGCUGUGUAAGGGCUGUUUGACCAAGAAGGCGAGUGUUGGAAUGCUGGCCUCCACAAUCACCCAACCUCAAGCCAAUUGAGAUGGUUUGGGGUGAGUUGGACAGCAGAGUGAAGGAAAAGCAGCCAACAAGUGCUCAGCAUAUGUGGGAACUCAUUCAAGACUGUUGGAAAGGCAUUCCAGGUGAAGUUGGUUGACAGAAUGCCAAGAGUGUGCAAAGCAGUCAUCAAGGCAAAGAGUGGCUACUUUGUUUAACACUUUUUUUGGUUACUUCAUGAUUCCAUAUGUGUUAUUUCACAGUUUUGGAGGUCUUCAUUGUUAUUCUACAAUGUAGAAAACAGUAAAAAUAAAGAAAAACCCUUGAAAGAGUAGGUGUGUCCAAACUUGACUGGUACUGUAUAUCUGUAGUAAUUGAAAGAUUAAAAAAAAAAAGUUAAAUAAAGUGCUAUUAAUCCACACAACCAAAUCAUUUAUGCUAGAGAAAAGAAACUAAUGUCCUUCCUUAGCGCAAAACCAAAAACCCAACUGAGAGGGAGAUGGUAGUACCAAUGACAUCGUGGUUGUCCACUCAUUGUAUUGCCAAAUUUGGCCUGCCUUGACAUGUUUAGGCCUCUUGACACAGUCACUUUGAUCAAAGACUAACUCGAUGAUAAGGUAUUAUGAAACGUCAUCAUCACCAAAUCUCUAUGCACAGUAUAACAAAGAGUGGCUGGUCUGGGACAUGAAAUGAUUAGUAUUGCGAUUGUUUUCUGUCUAAUAUUUGCUUGGUUAUAUUAUACUGCGACUUUUCACAUCUCAUCCACACCAGUAAACACGUGCAAGAAAUACAUUGUCAUAAGAGAGAGAUUAAAGACCAAAUGCUGAAAGGGCAAAUCAAAAGCAAAUUGCUUGAGCAAGAAAAUAGGACAUUUUCCAUUUCUCCACGUGGCGUCAGCAAAUAUAGCUUAGACAGGCCUAAUGAAUUAGACAUUUUGAACCUCCUUACUGAUGAAAUACACCAAACAAAAAAAACUAUUUUUUUGAAAUAUCACAUACAUAGAUAGCCCUUGCUCCACUGUCACUUUUCUCAUCUUCCCGAAAACUCCCACAAUCAAGUGAAAAGCUCAAGAGAACCUACAACUAAAAUUAAGGAAUAGCCUACAUCAAUCUUAAUCUGAAAUUAAUUCAUGAAAUAUGUAGACUUAAAACAGCGAGGGUUAAGAAGAAAUAAAAGUACAAAUAAAGCUAAACUCAGAUGAAGACAAUUAAUGCCAAAACAUUUUUACUGAUUAGCACGGCUACCUAAAACUGACAACCGAACCACGAGAUUAUGACAUGGCUUUAGUUUCAUUCUGAUUUGACACGUCUCUAUCUGUUCUCUGGGAGUUUGUUGCUACUGUAGAUCACACCUGAAAUCGCUAAACCAUACAAAACAAAGUAAAAUAGUUGUCAAAACUGAUACCAAGCAGUCAGGUCUUUGCUGGGCAUAGUUAUUUCACUAAAGUAAUUAAGACAAAUGCGUUCCCUCAACAUAUACAUUUCUCAUUUAACCUGCAGCCUAACAGGACUAUCAAUACUACCAGCCUUCUCAUAAUCUUCACAUUUUGUAAAUUUCAAGGCAUUCUUAGAAUUUAUAGUUCAUUUUCUUUUAAAAUGUAUUCAAAUGUGCACAUAUACUGAUGUGUAUGCAUAAAUCAUAACACAUACACAAAUCUACAUAUAUUGGACUAAUUUGAAUGCAUGAGGAACUAAAACAAUUGAGGCAUCCUACUGUCAGACAGUCACCACAGUUCAAUGGGCAAGAGGAUAAAGGCUUGGGAGGUGCAGUUUGCGCCUUCCUCAGUCUUAUGUCCCCAACACCCAGAGGAAGGAUCUACGAGACCAACACCUAUUACAGCAGAAAGUGUCACAAGUGUCCAUUCACAUGGGAGAGGCACCCAAAAUUUCUUUCAAGUGUUUGAGUCUGUGUGUAAUCCAGAGCAUCAGCCGAAGCUCCUGCGCUCAACUUAAUGCCAAUAAUUGGAUUAAUAUUUACUCAUAUUACACCUCCCCUUGUCAACUUCCUCUUCUCCGAUGCACCCCCCAAAAACAAAUCCCAUUACCCCAUUCUGUAUUCCAAUAAAAGUAUGUCACAGGACACACAUCUUUCUGUCCCAAUAUCACAGUUGACUCGAUUUUGUUUUCCAAAGGGAUCAUAACCGCCAAAGACAUCUGCAGCACCCAGGUAGGGAGAAGGUACAGGUAAUUGUUGACAUUCACUACCUCACUGAUCAGGUCCAUCCUUGGUCUUGUCAUAACAGACUACUCUUUUUGGAUCUGGGGGGGGAGAAGGACAGAAAUUGAGUGUGUAGGCCCUGGGGAACUUAGUUAACGCAUAAUGCAUGUUAUUCAAACUUCAGCUGUACACCUUUGAACAUCGAAUAGAAAACCCAACAUCACAACUUAAAAAAUACACUACACAGAAGAGACCUUUUAAUUUACCUUGUUUUUGCAAAUUGAAAACAUAUUCCAUUUCUGUAGAGAAAAAAAAAACAGAUUGAUUAUCAUCUCCAGAUGCAUAAGACAAUUUUAUUAUUAGACACAUUGUCUUUAAUGUGAAGCUAAUGGAUUUAAAGCUUUUGGUGCAAGUGAAAUAGUUGGUUAACGCUACUAAUGUGUAAUACAUAUUAGAGGUCGACCAAUUAAUCGGCAUGGCCGAUUAAAUAGGGCCAAUUUCAAGUUUUC
rnacentral:lncRNA from 1 species